rnacentral:miRNA from 1 species
AUAAGUAUGUGUUUGUGUGUAUACAUGUAUAUGUAUAUACAUACACACACACACACACUCAC